rnacentral:rRNA from 1 species
UAGGGAAUCUUCCGCAAUGGACGCAAGUCUGACGGAGCAACGCCGCGUGAGUGAAGAAGGAUUUCGGUUCGUAAAACUCUGUUGUUAGAGAAGAACAGCGCAUAGAGUAACUGUUAUGCGUGUGACGGUAUCUAACCAGAAAGCCACGGCUAACUACGUGCCAGCAGCCGCGGUAAUACGUAGGUGGCAAGCGUUGUCCGGAUUUAUUGGGCGUAAAGCGAGCGCAGGCGGUCAAUUAAGUCUGAUGUGAAAGCCCCCGGCUCAACCGGGGAGGGUCAUUGGAAACUGGUUGACUUGAGUGCAGAAGAGGAGAGUAGAAUUCCAUGUGUAGCGGUGAAAUGCGUAGAUAUAUGGAGGAACACCAGUGGCGAAGGCGACUAUCUGGUCUGUAACUGACGCUGAGGUUCGAAAGCGUGGGUAGCAAACAGG